rnacentral:rRNA from 1 species
AUUGAACGCUGGCGGCAGGCUUAACACAUGCAGGUCGAGCGGAGAUGAGGUGCUUGCACCUUAUCUUAGCGGCGGACGGGUGAGUAAUGCUUAGGAAUCUGCCUAUUAGUGGGGGACAACAUUCCGAAAGGAAUGCUAAUACCGCAUACGCCCUACGGGGGAAAGCAGGGGAUCUUCGGACCUUGCGCUAAUAGAUGAGCCUAAGUCGGAUUAGCUAGUUGGUGGGGUAAAGGCCUACCAAGGCGACGAUCUGUAGCGGGUCUGAGAGGAUGAUCCGCCACACGGGGACUGAGACACGGCCCAGACUCCUACGGGAGGCAGCAGUGGGGAAUAUUGGACAAUGGGCGGAAGCCUGAUCCAGCCAUGCCGCGUGUGUGAAGAAGGCCUUUUGGUUGUAAAGCACUUUAAGCGAGGAGGAGGCUACCUGGAUUAAUACUCUAGGAUAGUGGACGUUACUCGCAGAAUAAGCACCGGCUAACUCUGUGCCAGCCGCCGCGGUAACAC